UGGGACUAUGAUGGCUGAUGGCAUCAAUGCCAGAAGAUGGGCUGGACGGCUCAGUCUUAAUGAAGGAUCCGCAGCUAGAGAAGUCUUUCCAGGCCUUUCAAAGGUCUCAUUAGCCAUCUCUGAACCUCCUCCAUUUCUGCUAUAUUUGUUUUUCGAGAGGGUGACCAGAACUGAAUUCAAUGAUCCAGAUUCUCAGCUGAUGUAAAUCAGCAUAACUACAUUGAAAUUAAUUCUCCAGCUGAAGGUGUAGCCCAGCGUUCUAGUCCAUGUACCUGGUAAAUGUACCACCAUCAUGCCGUCAGAAGGGCAAACCCAUCAGAGACGACAGGACAGAGCUUCUCUCAUGUACCAAAAUUAGAGUAUGCAUGAGUAGUUUGCAGACACAAAAAUUGGAGUGGUAAAUUAUGAAGAGGACCCAUCAGUGAUACAGAGUGAUCUGGAUCGCUUGGUCUGUCAAUAAAUGACAAUGUCAUCUGAAGGGCAGAUACUCCUGAAGUCUUCCCUGUUCCUCUGACCACUCAUUAUGAACCCUGCAUGUUGCACUGGCAGAAGGCAGCACAUCAUCACCUGGGCACCACCUCCUGACAAACUUGGUGGCCCUUUUCAGUGCAAGGUCUGAAUCCCAAGGAUACCAGGAUCUGCUCUGGACACUUUACCAUUAUAUAGAAGAGGCUAUAGCUGGCAUAGGCUGGAAGGGCAGGUGUGGGCUAACCUAUUCUACAACUAAAGAGCAUCCUGUUUGAAUUCAUGCAUUCAGCAGGGCAAACUUCAGUUUUGUAGGGCAGCAGGGAAGAGUUUCUGGCCUGUAAGUGGGCAGGGUUUAGGGCAAAGUUAGAGAUGGCAUUGGAAGUUGGAUCUUAACUGUGACGUUCUUGAGUUUCUAGCAUGUAGGGCUUGGGGAUUUUUAAACUCAAGCACUUUGCUUAGGUUGCUUUAAAGGUCAAGAGAGUCUCAACCUUAAUUUAGUUUAUGUGUUUUUGGCCUGGACUACAGAUGCUUUUCUAAGGGCUCUUUGCAGCUCUUCCCUUUGGACUGUCUGAGUUUCUAUUUCUCCUGAGUCUCUUGUGCCUCUUCUCUAGAGUAGUGCAAAUCCCCAUGGUUUCAGGCUGCACGGGUUUGUGUUCACAUGGAUUUUUUUUGUAUAUUCACUAAUAUCAGACUUCUGUUUUGGGCUCAAACACAAAGAACAGCUCACAGCAGAAGGCUGCUGAAUUUUCCCUGAUUUGGGGGAAAAAUUCUCAAGCGCUAGAUGGCUUCCACCAAACCUGGACUUAGCUCCAGAUUGUAACAAAGCCCAGACUUCUUGAGUUUAACCUGGAGUAUUUUUCUAUUGCUUUUCUCUUUGCUAUUGAUCUGGUUUCUUUUGUAUAAAUACGUUGCAACCACCUUG